rnacentral:rRNA from 1 species
UACGUAGGUGGCAAGCGUUUGUCCGGAUUUACUGGGCGUAAAGAGCGCGCAGGCGGUCGGAUCAGUCGAAUGUGAAAGCCCCCGGCUCAACUGGGGGAGGGUCAUUCGAUACUGUCCGACUCGAAGGCAGGAGAGGGAAGCGGAAUUCCCCGGUGUAGUGGUGAAAUGCGUAGAUAUCGGGAGGAACACCGAUGGCGAAGGCAGAUCUCUGGGCCGUAACUGACGCUGAGGAGCGAAAGCAUGGGGAGCGAACAGG